AUUGAACGCUGGCGGCAUGCUUUACACAUGCAAGUCGAACGGUAACAGGCCGCAAGGUGCUGACGAGUGGCGCACGGGUGAGUAAUGCAUCGGAACGUGCCCAGUCGUGGGGGAUAACUACUCGAAAGAGUAGCUAAUACCGCAUACGAUCUAUGGAUGAAAGCGGGGGACCGUAAGGCCUCGCGCGAUUGGAGCGGCCGAUGUCAGAUUAGGUAGUUGGUGGGGUAAAGGCUCACCAAGCCAACGAUCUGUAGCUGGUCUGAGAGGACGACCAGCCACACUGGGACUGAGACACGGCCCAGACUCCUACGGGAGGCAGCAGUGGGGAAUUUUGGACAAUGGGCGCAAGCCUGAUCCAGCAAUGCCGCGUGCAGGAAGAAGGCCUUCGGGUUGUAAACUGCUUUUGUACGGAACGAAACGGCUCUGGUUAAUACCCGGGGCUAAUGACGGUACCGUAAGAAUAAGCACCAGCUAACUACGUG
rnacentral:rRNA from 1 species